rnacentral:rRNA from 1 species
UACGUAGGUGGCAAGCGUUGUCCGGAUUUACUGGGCGUAAAGAGCGCGCAGGCGGUCGAAUAAGUCGAAUGUGAAAGCCCCCGGCUUAACUGGGGAGGGUCAUUCGAUACUGCUCGACUUGAAGGCAGGAGAGGGUAGUGGAAUUCCCGGUGUAGUGGUGAAAUGCGUAGAUAUCUGGAAGAACACCGGUGGCGAAGGCGGUCAACUGGCCCUAAACUGACGCUCAGGCACGAAAGCGUGGGGAUCAAACAGG